rnacentral:rRNA from 1 species
AGCUCUUCUAGCGUAUAUCGAAGUUGAUGCAGUUAAAAAGCUCGUAGUCGGAGUUGUUCAAGUGUAGGAGAUAAUACUGAGUCAGUUGAAAGAUUGGCUUGGAACUACCUUGAUUCAUUGGAUCGUGAAAGUGCAUGGGUUCGCCUGUGAUUACUUCCCUUCCACAUUUACUUUGAGGAAAUUAGAGUGUUCAUAGCAGUCGUUUCGACUGAAUAGUUUAGCAUGGGAUAAUAGAAUAUGGCAAGCUGCUGUUUCUAUGGUUCUUAAUAGCAUUAUUUGCAAUGAUCAAUGGGAGUGGAUGGGGCUGCCUGUAUUACGGAGCUAGAGGUGAAAUUCUAUGAUUUCCGUAGGACAAACAAAUGCGAAAGCAUCCAGCCAGUACAUGUCCG